AUUGAACGCUGGCGGCAGGCCUAACACAUGCAAGUCGAGCGGAUGAAGGGAGCUUGCUCCUGGAUUCAGCGGCGGACGGGUGAGUAAUGCCUAGGAAUCUGCCUGGUAGUGGGGGAUAACGUCCGGAAACGGGCGCUAAUACCGCAUACGUCCUGAGGGAGAAAGUGGGGGAUCUUCGGACCUCACGCUAUCAGAUGAGCCUAGGUCGGAGUAGCUAGUUGGUGGGGUAAAGGCCUACCAAGGCGACGAUCCGUAACUGGUCUGAGAGGAUGAUCAGUCACACUGGAACUGAGACACGGUCCAGACUCCUACGGGAGGCAGCAGUGGGGAAUAUUGGACAAUGGGCGAAAGCCUGAUCCAGCCAUGCCGCGUGUGUGAAGAAGGUCUUCGGAUUGUAAAGCACUUUAAGUUGGGAGGAAGGGCAGUAAGUUAAUACCUUGCUGUUUUGACGUUACCAACAGAAUAAGCACCGGCUAACUUCGUG
rnacentral:rRNA from 1 species